rnacentral:SRP_RNA from 1 species
GCUGGGCAUGGUGGCUCAUGCCUGUAAUCCCAGCACUUUGGGAGGCUGAGAUGGGUGGAUCACCUGAGGUCAGGAGUUCAAGAGCAGCCUGGCCAACAUGGUGAAACCUGUCUCUA